GACGAACGCUGGCGGCGUGCUUAACACAUGCAAGUCGAACGGAAAGGCCCUGCUUUUGUGGGGUUCUCGAGUGGCGAACGGGGGAGUAACACGUGAGUAACCUGCCCUUGACUUUGGGAUAACUUCAGGAAACUGGGGCUAAUACCGGAUAGGAGCUCCUGCUGCAUGGUGGGGGUUGGAAAGUUUCGGCGGUUGGGGAUGGACUCGCGGCUUACGAGCUUGUUGGUCGGGUAGUGGCGUACCAAGGCCUUGACGGAUAGCCCGCCUGGGAGGGUGACCGGCCACAUUGCGACUGCGGGACGGCGCAGUCUCCAACGGGAGGCAGUAGUGGGGAACAUGACACAGCGGGCGGGAGCCUGAGGCAGCAACGCCGGGUGCGGGAUGACCUCCUUCGGGUUAUGAACCGCUUUCGCCUGAGACGAAGCGGGAGUGACGGUAAUGGGUAAAGAAGCACCGGCUAACUACGUG
rnacentral:rRNA from 1 species